AUUGAACGCUGGCGGCAUGCCUUACACAUGCAAGUCGAACGGUAACGCGGGGGCAACCCUGGCGACGAGUGGCGAACGGGUGAGUAGCGCAUCGGAACGUGCCCAGUAGUGGGGGAUAGCUCGGCGAAAGCCGGAUUAAUACCGCAUACGACCUACGGGUGAAAGCGGGGGACCGCAAGGCCUCGCGCUAUUGGAGCGGCCGAUGCCCGAUUAGCUAGUUGGUGAGGUAAAGGCUCACCAAGGCAACGAUCGGUAGCUGGUCUGAGAGGACGACCAGCCACACUGGGACUGAGACACGGCCCAGACUCCUACGGGAGGCAGCAGUGGGGAAUUUUGGACAAUGGGGGAAACCCUGAUCCAGCCAUGCCGCGUGCGGGAAGAAGGCCUUCGGGUUGUAAACCGCUUUUGGCAGGAACGAAACGGCGCGCGCUAACACCGCGCGCUAAUGACGGUACCUGCAGAAUAAGCACCGGCUAACUACGUGCCAGCAGCCGCCGUAAUAC
rnacentral:rRNA from 1 species